UUCCAGUGGAAACCUCUUGAAACCUGUGAA
rnacentral:piRNA from 1 species